CCAUCACAACCUCUAAACAACAUCGCAAAACCCCCUUAUAAACAAAAGUGGGAGAACCAGAAAAGAAUAAACUUUGUGGAAAACAGAGAAGUUUAUUAAAUUCCAAGGGCAUUAUCAAAUUCCAAGGCUUAAGUUUACUAAAAUAAGAGAGAAUGAGACAUUAAAAAUUGAGAGCUAAUAAACUAAAACAGAGAAGUGCCUUGAGUUUUGCAAAGAGAAGACUAUGAUAAAACUUUUAAAAACUCGAGUUCAGAAUAGUAUGCUCUAGAGUCUAUACUUUGACUAAAAAAUUAGAAACAGUGAUGAAAAGUGGAAAAGCCAAGUUAACAUUACAAAUGAAUCAAGAGAUGAGUAUGCAAACAGAAAAAGACAAGUUAAUAUGAAGAGACGGUGUCUUAAAACAAAUAACAC
rnacentral:lncRNA from 1 species